rnacentral:rRNA from 1 species
GACAGAGGAUGCAAGCGUUAUCCGGAAUGAUUGGGCGUAAAGCGUCUGUAGGUGGCUUUUUAAGUCCGCCGUCAAAUCCCAGGGCUCAACCCUGGACAAGCGGUGGAAACUACCAAGCUGGAGUACGGUAGGGGCAGAGGGAAUUUCCGGUGGAGCGGUGAAAGUGACGCAGAUAUCAGGAGGAACACCGAUGGCGAAGGCAGGUCUCUGGGCAUUAACUGACGCUGAGGAGCGAAAGCAUGGGGAGCGAACAGG